rnacentral:rRNA from 1 species
GAUUAACGCUGGCGGCGUGCCUAACACAUGCAAGUCGAACGAGGUAGCAAUACCUAGUGGCAGACGGGUGAGUAACGCGUGGUCAACCUACCGUUGAGUGGGGGAUAACUAGCCGAAAGGUUAGCUAAUACCGCAUACGUCUCCGAGUGGCAUCACUUGGCGAUAAAAGGAGCAAUCCGCUCGAUGACGGGACCGCGUCCCAUUAGCUAGAUGGUGGGGUAACGGCCUACCAUGGCUCCGAUGGGUAGCUGGUUUGAGAGAGCGACCAGCCACACUGGGACUGAGAAACGGCCCAGACUCCUACGGGAGGCAGCAGUGAGGAAUUUUCCGCAAUGGGCGCAAGCCUGACGGAGCGACGCCGCGUGUGGGAAGAAGGCC